rnacentral:rRNA from 1 species
CCUACGGGUGGCUGCAGUCGUGAAUCUUCCGCAAUGGGCGAAAGCCUGACGGAGCGACACCGCGUGCAGGAUGAAGGCCCUCGGGUUGUAAACUGCUGUCAGGUUCUAGGAACCUCCAAGCGUUAAUACCGUUUGGAGUGACCAAGACCAAAGGAAGCAACGGCUAACUCUGUGCCAGCAGCCGCGGUAAGACAGAGGUUGCAAACGUUGUUCGGAAUUACUGGGCAUAAAGAGCACGUAGGCCGUCCGCUAAGUCAGGUGUGAAAUCCCCCGGC